AGUUUGGUUCCUUGAAUUUAAUCUCAUCAUUUGGUUCCUUGACCACCCUAAAUUUAGACCUCAUCACUCUACAUUUCAAGGAACAAUUACUGUGGUGGGGCUAGAGUCUUUUGAAGAGAACCUUGACACAUCCAAUCUCCUUUUAGGAUACUGGAGAACCCUGGGGAAGAAGUGAAAAUCUAAUCAACCUAACCUUGUAAGCAGUGAGAGCCAUGGAUGAAGUUGUUAUUAAAGAAAGUCCAGAUGUUAUUAGUUUUUUUACCUUGAAAAGAAGAGAAAGAAUUCCAAAGGAAGAAGUUGAUACCUUCAGGCCCUGAUGAAACAUAAGAGGUAAUUCAUGCCCAUGGAUUUGGUCUUAGUUUCAGAGUGUAAUGGAGUUAUGUCUUUAUCAACUAAAAUAGAGAUAGCUAUGUUGGAGAUACCUAAAAUCUGCUUUUAAAAGACAUUCUCUCUUUCUCUAUUAGGGUCUUGUCUCUUUCUAUUGACUGUAAUUGGUAAUGGGCUGCAUCUUUAUAAGUAAGAGAGUGGGACAGUCUUAUUGUAUUUCCAGUUCUGACUAGGGAUAAAAGCACUGUUCAUGGAUAUCAUAUACUAAACUAGAUGUGGAGAAAAGGUUCAUCUUCAUCAUCAUUAAAUUAUUUCCAGGCUCCCUGACAUCAAGAAAUGGACUUUGGAGUCUUGGUGUUUUAUAAUUUUUAGUUCUAGGUAUAAUCCAUGGAGUUACUGGACCCUGAACUCAACCCAUAAUUACCUUGGAACUAGGCCUAAUUCUGGACUUGAAAUUGUUACUCACUCAUCAAGGAAUCCCUGAGAAGCCAGGAAACUGGGAUUCAAAUCCAUUGGGGCUUUGGACUUGACAUCUGGUAGGAUCAUCCUGUGCAGAAACAAAACCAUGAAGCCAAUCCCUUUCUCAUCCUCAAACUAAUGGAGUGAGGGGAAAUUAUGCCUGCAAUUGCUGAGGGGAUAUUUGUAUGUUUUUUCUUGCUAUAUUUUUGAAAUAAAUACUCUGUCAUAAAAGUUAAUCUGACUAAUAAAUGGUUAA